AGAGUUUGAUCCUGGCUCAGGACGAACGCUAGCGGCAGGCCUAACACAUGCAAGUCGAACGGUAACAUGAGAGCUUGCUCUUGAUGACGAGUGGCGCACGGGGGCGGGUGAGUAACGCGUAUGCAACCUGCCUUUUACAGAGGGAUAGCUUUCGGAAACGGAAAUUAAUACCUCAUAACACUGCGAGGUGGCAUCACCAAGCAGUUAAAACUUCGACGGUAAAGGAUGGGCAUGCGUAACAUUAGCUAGUUGGUAAGGUAAUGGCUUACCAAGGCAACGAUGUUUAGGGGUUCUGAGAGGAUGAUCCCCCACACUGGAACUGAGACACGGUCCAGACUCCUACGGGAGGCAGCAGUGAGGAAUAUUGGACAAUGGACGAAAGUCUGAUCCAGCCCUGCCGCGUGCAGGAAGAAGGCCUUCUGGGUUGUAAACUGCUUUUCUGAAGGAAGAACUAUUACUACGUGUAGUGAUUUGACGGUACUUCAGGAAUAAGCAUCGGCUAACUCCGUGCCAGCAGCCGCGGUAAUACGGAGGAUGCAAGCGUUAUCCGGAUUUAUUGGGUUUAAAGGGUGCGCAGGCGGACUAAUAAGUCAGUGGUGAAAUCUUUCGGCUUAACCGGGAAACUGCCAUAGAUACUGUUAGUCUUGAGUUCGGUUGAGGUAGGCGGAAUGUGUAAUGUAGCGGUGAAAUGCUUAGAUAUUACACAGAACACCGAUUGCGUAGGCAGCUUACUAAGCUAUAACUGACGCUGAUGCACGAAAGCGUGGGGAGCGAACAGGAUUAGAUACCCUGGUAGUCCACGCCGUAAACGAUGAUCACUCGUUGUUGGCAAUACACCGUCAGCGACUGAGCGAAAGCAUUAAGUGAUCCACCUGGGGAGUACGGUCGCAAGAUUGAAACUCAAAGGAAUUGACGGGGGCCCGCACAAGCGGAGGAACAUGUGGUUUAAUUCGAUGAUACGCGAGGAACCUUACCUGGGCUUAAAUGUAGAGUGCAUAAACGGGAAACUGUUUUUUCCUUCGGGACUCUUUACAAGAUGCUGCAUGGUUGUCGUCAGCUCGUGCCGUGAGGUGUCGGGUUAAGUCCCAUAACGAGCGCAACCCCUAUUCUUAGUUGCCAGCGGGUAAUGCCGGGGACUCUAAGGAGACUGCCAGUGUAAACUGUGAGGAAGGUGGGGAUGACGUCAAAUCAGCACGGCCCUUAUGUCCAGGGCUACACACGUGUUACAAUGGCCGAUACAAAGGGCAGCUACCUGGUGACAGGAUGCUAAUCUCCAAAGUCGGUCUCAGUUCGGAUCGGAGUCUGCAACUCGACUCCGUGAAGUUGGAUUCGCUAGUAAUCGUAUAUCAGCAAUGAUACGGUGAAUACGUUCCCGGGCCUUGUACACACCGCCCGUCAAACCAUGGAAGCUGGGGGUACCUGAAGUACGUAACCGUAAGGAGCGUCCUAGGGUAAAUCUAGUGACUGGGGCUAAGUCGCAACAAGGUA
rnacentral:rRNA from 1 species